rnacentral:rRNA from 1 species
CCUACGGGGGGCUGCAGUGAGGAAUAUUGGUCAAUGGACGAGAGUCUGAACCAGCCAAGUAGCGUGAAGGAUGACUGCCCUAUGGGUUGUAAACUUCUUUUAUAUGGGAAUAAAAUGUUCCACGUGUGGGAUUUUGUAUGUACCAUAUGAAUAAGGAUCGGCUAACUCCGUGCCAGCAGCCGCGGUAAUACGGAGGAUCCGAGCGUUAUCCGGAUUUAUUGGGUUUAAAGGGAGCUUAGGUGGAUUGUUAAGUCAGUUGUGAAAGUUUGCGGCUCAACCGUAAAAUUGCAGUUGAAACUGGCAGUCUUGAGUACAGUAGAGGUGGGCGGAAUUCGUGGUGUAGCGGUGAAAUGCUUAGAUAUCACGAAGAACUCCGAUUGCGAAGGCAGUUCACUGGACUGCAACUGACACUGAGGCUCGAAAGUGUGGGUAUCAAACAGGAUUAGGUACCCGAGUAGUC